rnacentral:misc_RNA from 1 species
AACGUAUCAUAUAUAAUAUGAACGAUUAUAAGUGUCGUCUGCGGACGACACAAACAAAAACAUGGAGGCAUGCAGCGAUGGACGGAUAUCUCAUUGAUUCCGACCGGAGUGUGCCGAACGUCGCCCUGCGCAAACGCGUACGGGCUAGCUUACGCUACGGCGUAUAAUAAAAUGGUGCGCUCCAGUGUUUCGCGUACGUAGUUUUGUGUUCGAACUAUUACACAUCGCUUCGGUGAUUUGUAAAUUUGUGUGCGCCGUUCGACAUGCAUUAUCUACUUGUGUGCACAGGCAGAAUAACAACGCCUCGGCGUUUCAUAAUCAAUAAUAUGGUAAUACAAACAUUACCAAGGUUACAAAACCACUAAAGUUCGCCCAGCACGACACCGUGUGCGCAACCCGACGCAUGCACUUGUGUACGGGAUGUUGCAUACCGCCCAGGCGGUAUUGUCGACUAGAGAGGUGUACGUGCAAAUGGGAACGCGUGCGCAAAGCGCAUAGCAAAAAUUGUAAGAAAUAUAUAAAUAUAUACUGCUACGUAUCAUCCGAUGCGUGAGCGAAUUAUGGAGUUCGCGUAAAAACGUUCUGCCAUUCACGUGUGACACUCAUUGUGCACACACGACGUCGGAGUCCGUGCGAUAAUAAUAAUUUUCGUGCGAUCAAAACACUCUGACACUGCUGACUGAUUCUCUUCGCGGAAACAGACUGCGAUCAAUGGACUUUCGGGUAACACCGUGGUCUUAAAUUACUCGAACGUUCCGUUACGGGGGGGCUUCACAUAAGGUGGACACCCCGGGCGAUCGUUCCAAUUAUGUCUUUACCGUGCGGGACCAACGUCGGUAAAAUUAUGACACUAUGGAACUUUCGUUUGUGCGCCGCGCUCGAUUCAUAUGAAUCGUGUCGCUAUCGGGACGUUUGAACCACACAACAAAUACAUACCUCCAAUAUCGCAAACGAUCCAUUAGCUCUUGAAGCUUUUGGUGUUGUACUAAUUGUAACUAUCAAACCAUACAUAUAAUCCGCGCCGGUAUGUCUUCGGACGCACACCGGACGGGACUUGUAUAAAUUUAUAACCACCCUGAACGGUGGAUCACUUGGCUCGU